UAGGCAAUCUGACAAAAAGUAAAAGGCAAGAAUGUUCACGUGUGUUUGAAAAAGAGCCCUCUUUUUCAUACUGCAUUCAUUGGUCAGCCUUUUUUAACAACGCCAAUGUUUUUCUCUCUCAGGCUUGAAUCAUUGUGCACUAUGGAACCAUGGCUGUCUCCUGGUUUACACGCCCUGCCUCCUGGAACUCCCACUCAUUUCUGUUUGAUUCCUCUCUCUUCUUAAGGAUUCUUGGUCCUUGACCUGUUUCUUUGCAUCCGUCUUCACAGCAUCCUUGGCAAUGGCACAUUUUCUUUUCACUAACAUCCUCAACGAUCAUGUCUUUUCUUCAUACCUAUUUAACCAUGCCCACUUCUGGAUAACUUAAUUACAUAUCAUCCUAUUCUUUAACCCAGGAUGCUGAGUGGUGAAGGAGAAUCACACACACUUACCAAUGGGAUAAUGCUAACAUUGGACAGGCUAGCCCCUGACACUGCAACAAGAAGACAGAACAUCAAACAGCUUCCUUCUGAACAGGCAGAAGGCAAUCCAUUUCCAACCACUGUUAUUUAUGCCGUGGUAUGGAAUAUCUGCAGCGGGAACAGGAAGUCAGAAGCUCAUCCAUAGAGAAGACAUUCUGCCUGCAACUCUCGAUCAGGAACCCUGUAUAAAUGUUUCAGAAGGCUUCUCCACUCAUUCCUGCUAGAUGUUGUUGUUCAGGUUCCCCAGGGACUCUCUUCCACUCUGCCCAAGCACGCUCCUCAACAGGAUCUGAGAGUCCCCCCUGUCAUGUCAUAGCCCCAUACAAGUCCUGAGGCUACUGCAAAACCACCGAGAAACUGUGUUCCAAGUUGUCCAAAGUUCAGCAGCUAUGGCUCUGAGUGUGCGAUGGGAUGUUAAAAAAGAGCUAGCCCUUCUCACCUUACUGAACAUGGCUGUGUUCUUGAUGGCUUGGACAAGUUCAGGGGCAUCAGGGGGAAGCAGGUACUUAUCCUUGGUGUCUUCCCAGUUCUGCUUAUAUAAAACCUAGAGAGAAAAUGGAUAGACUAUGGCUUGUCAGACGGAACAGUGAAGUUGGCUUCACACAAAGGUGGCUGAUACGGGUUACCAGGAAAGUGUUGACCACGCCAACACGGUAUUCCUUCUCAGCAUCAGUAAGCUUUUGCUAAACAACAACAGUAACAACAACAACACCUUAUGAUUCUGAUUUUCAAUUUCUUUCAAAGACUGCGAUCGGCUAAUUAAUUCAGUUUUCU